AAGAGAGAGACAUGCGCGCAUAUCAAUAAGCGGAGGAAAAGAAACUAACAAGGAUUCCCUUAGUAACGGCGAGUGAAGCGGGAAGAGCUCAAAUUUGAAAUCUUCAAGGUUUUACCUUGACGAAUUGUAGUUUAAAGAAGUGUUUUCUGCUGAAGUUUUGGUAAAAGUUCUUUGGAAUAGGACAUCAUAGAGGGUGAGAAUCCCGUAUUUGACCAUUAUUUUCAGCUUUGUGAUACACUUUCAAAGAGUCGGAUUGUUUGGGAAUGCAGUCCAAAAUGGGUGGUAAAUUUCAUCUAAAGCUAAAUAUUGGCGAGAGACCGAUAGCGAACAAGUACCGUGAGGGAAAGAUGAAAAGAACUUUGAAAAGAGAGUUAAACAGUACGUGAAAUUGUCAAAAGGGAAGCGUUUGACACCAGUGUUGUUUUCUCGAAAAUCAAUUAAAAAUGGCUCGAUUUUGUAUUGCUUGAGACCUUAAAAGCUCACUGUACAUUUUUCGUGUCUUUUUUAAUGCACUUUUCGUUUAACAAGUCAACAUCAGUUUCUUUUGUUGUAAAGGGGUCAUUGGAAGGUGGCUUUCUUUUCGGAGAAAGUGUUUAUAGCCUUUGGCCUCUGCAAUCGAAGAGACUGAGGUCUGCAGCGUAGACUCUUCGGGGUUAGAUACAUUUGUGCUAAGUUAUAGCUUUUCAUAGACAACUUGUUGACUAUAAUUAGUCUUGUAGCUUACUCGCUUAUGCUAUUUUACCUACGCUUAGGAUGUUGAAGAUGUAGCACAUCAU
rnacentral:rRNA from 1 species